rnacentral:rRNA from 1 species
AUUGAACGCUGGCGGCAGGCCUAACACAUGCAAGUCGAGCGAGCGGCGGACGGGUGAGUAAUGUCUGGGAAACUGCCUGAUGGAGGGGGAUAACUACUGGAAACGGUAGCUAAUACCGCAUAACAUCAGAUGUGCCCCGAUGGGAUUAGCUAGUAGGUGGGGUAACGGCUCACCUAGGCGACGAUCCCUAGCUGGUCUGAGAGGAUUACCAGCCAAACGGGAACUGAGAAACGGUCCGACUUCCGCCGGGAGGACGCGGUGGGGAAUAUUGCACAAUGGGCGCAAGCCUGAUGCAGCCAUGCCGCGGGGGUGAAGAAGGCCUUCGGGUUGUAAAGCACUUUCAGCGGGGAGGCGUUACCCGCAGAGGAAGCACCGGCUAACUCCGUGCCAGCAGCCGCGGUAAUAC